rnacentral:rRNA from 1 species
AUUGAACGCUGGCGGCAGGCCUAACNCAUGCAAGUCGNGCGGUAACAUUUCAAAAGCUUGCUUUUGAAGAUGACGAGCGGCGGACGGGUGAGUAAUGCCUAGGAAAUUGCCCUGAUGUGGGGGAUAACCAUUGGAAACGAUGGCUAAUACCGCAUGAUGCCUACGGGCCAAAGAGGGGGACCUUCGGGCCUCUCGCGUCAGGAUAUGCCUAGGUGGGAUUAGCUAGUUGGUGAGGUAAUGGCUCACCAAGGCGACGAUCCCUAGCUGGUCUGAGAGGAUGAUCAGCCACACUGGAACUGAGACACGGUCCAGACUCCUACGGGAGGCAGCAGUGGGGAAUAUUGCACAAUGGGCGCAAGCCUGAUGCAGCCAUGCCGCGUGUAUGAAGAAGGCCUUCGGGUUGUAAAGUACUUUCAGUCGUGAGGAAGGUGGUGUUGUUAAUAGCAACAUCAUUUGACGUUAGCGACAGAAGAAGCACCGGCUAACUCCGUGCCAGCAGCCGCGGGNUAAUA